UUUUAUUUGAGAGUUUGAUCCUGGCUCAGGAUGAACGCUGGCGGCGUGCCUAACACAUGCAAGUUGAGCGAUUUACUUCGGUAAAGAGCGGCGGACGGGUGAGUAACGCGUGGGUAACCUACCCUGUACACACGGAUAACAUACCGAAAGGUAUGCUAAUACGGGAUAAUAUAUUUGAGAGGCAUCUCUUGAAUAUCAAAGGUGAGCCAGUACAGGAUGGACCCGCGUCUGAUUAGCUAGUUGGUAAGGUAACGGCUUACCAAGGCGACGAUCAGUAGCCGACCUGAGAGGGUGAUCGGCCACAUUGGAACUGAGACACGGUCCAAACUCCUACGGGAGGCAGCAGUGGGGAAUAUUGCACAAUGGGCGAAAGCCUGAUGCAGCAACGCCGCGUGAGUGAUGACUGGUCGUAAAACUCUAUACCAGGAAGAUAAUGACGGUACUUGAGGAAGCCCGGCUAACUACGUGCCAGCAGCCGCGGUAAUACGUAGGAGAUAGCGUUAUCGGAUUUACUGGGCGUAAAGGUGCGUAGGCGGUCUUUCAAGUCAGGAGUGAAAGGUACGGCUCAGCCGUAGUAAGCUCUUGAAACUGGGAGACUUGAGUGCAGGAGAGGUGGAAUUCCCUGGUGUAGCGGUGAAAUGCGUAGAUAUUGGAGGGAACACCAGUUGCGAAGGCGGCUCUGGACUGGCUUUGUGAGGCACAGCGUGAAACAAACAGGAUUAGAUGCCUGUUGGUCCACUGCCAAACGUGGUACUAGGUGUCGGGGGUUACCCCUCGGUGCCACAGCUAACGCAUUAAGUACUCCGCCUAGGAGAGGUACACGCUCGCAAGUGAAACUCAAAGGAAUUGACGAGGAAUGCCUGAAAUGUGGAGCAUGUGGACCCCAAUUCGAAACGAAGAACUACUUUUCUGACUUGACAUGUGACAUCUCGUAAUCGGAGUUCCCUUCAGGGACAUUAAGUGACAGGUGGUGCAUGGUUGUCGUCAGCUCGUGUCUCGUGAAUGUUAGGUUAGUCCGCAACGAGCACCAACCAUGACCUUUAGUUGCCAUCAUUAGGUUGGGCACUCUAGAGUUGCCAGGGAUAACCUGGAGGAAGGUGGGGAUGACGUCAAAUCAUCAUGCCCUUAUGCUUAGAGAUACACGUGCUACAAUGGGUAGUACAGGGUUGCCAACCGUAAGGUGGAACUAAUCGCAAAGCUUCUCUCGGAUUCCGGAUUGUAGGCGCGGAAACUCGCCUACGGGAAAUGGAACACUAGUGAAAUGAAUCAAAGUGCGGUGAAUGCGUUCCCGGGUCUUGUACACACCGCCCGUCCUACCACGGGAGUUGGAGACGCUUGAAGCCGAUUAUCUAACCUUUUGGAAGAGGGAAGUCGUCAGUGGAAUUAAAUAGCUGGGGUGAAAGUCAUCAACGAGUGGCAAACAUCGGAAGGUGCGGCUGGAUCACCUCCUUUCUA
rnacentral:rRNA from 1 species